rnacentral:rRNA from 1 species
UACAGAGGGUGCAAGCGUUAAUCGGAAUUACUGGGCGUAAAGCGAGCGUAGUCGGUUAUUUAAGUCGGGUGUGAAAGCCCCGGGCUCAACCUGGGAAUUGCAUUCGAUACUGGAUAGCUAGAGUUCGGCAGAGGGAAGCGGAAUUUCCGGUGUAGCGGUGAAAUGCGUAGAUAUCGGAAGGAACACCAGUGGCGAAGGCGACUUCCUGGCCUGUUCUUGACGCUGAGGCGCGAAAGCUAGGGUAGCAAACGGG